AAAUGCGAUAAGUAGUGUGAAUUGCAGAAUUCAGUGAAUCAUCGAAUCUUUGAACGCACAUUGCACCCCUUGGUAUUCCAUGGGGCAUGCCUGUUCGAGCGUCAUUUGUACCCUCAAGCUCUGCUUGGUGUUGGGUGUUUGUCCCCGUCUCCGCGCGUGGACUCGCCCCAAAGUGAUUGGCAGCCGGCGUACUGGUCCCGGAGCGCAGCACAUGUCGCGCAAACGAGUGCCUUGGUACGGCGGCGUCCAUAAGCCCCUCUCUCACGCUCUUGACCUCGGAUCAGGUAGGGAUACCCGCUGAACUUAAGC
rnacentral:misc_RNA from 1 species